AGAUCCCAGCCUGCAUCUGCCUCUGAAGCCUCCUUCCUCACUCUCUCCUGCUCACAAUCUUUCCUCCAGCCACACAGCUGCAAGCUUCUUAGGCUGCUCCUUUAGCCCGAACUAGCCCCUCCGUUUACACAAUAAUUUCUGUCCUACUCAUGCCUUGCUUUGCCCAGUUGUGCUUGAUGCUUGAAACCCUCUGUAACAACCCUGAACAGUAGAACUUUCUACUGGAUGAUAUAAAGUGUUAGAAGCACUGAUUUGUUAAGAAAAUUUCCAGAGUCACACAGCUAUAACUGGCAAAGCUGUACUUCAAACUUGGAAAGUCGACUUCUAGAAUCCAGAAGUUUAAGCCCUAGACCAGCGUUUUUCAAAGUGUGGUUCCCAGACCAGCAGCGGCGGUGUCACCUGGAACUUAUCACAAAGACAAGCUUCCGAGCCAACUUCAGACCUACUCAUUGGAAGCUCAAGGUGGGGUUAUGAUGGGAUCAGAUACCUGAGUGAUAACAAGCUUUUCAGAUGAGUUUAUGCAGGCUUGAGCUUGAGGAUCAUUGAUCUAUACUGUGUUACCUUCCCAAAUAACAAGAACACUCAAAAGCCUGUGUUUAAGUAUUGCACAUACCACUGAGUUAUGCUGUGAUCUCAUUUGCCUGUUUGGAAAAUGAAUUUAAUAAACUGUCCCAUUGAA
ensembl:lncRNA novel transcript